GACGAACGCUGGCGGCGUGCUUAACACAUGCAAGUCGAGCGAUGAACCUUUCAUGAAUUUUUCGGAAUGAUUGGAAGAGGAUUAGCGGCGGACGGGUGAGUAACGCGUGAGCAACCUGCCUUAAACAACGGGAUAGCCUCGGGAAACCGGGAUUAAUACCGUAUGAGACCCCGCCUUCACAUGAAGAAGAGGUUAAAGAUUUAUCGGUUUAAGAUGGGCUCGCGUCUGAUUAGCUAGUUGGUGAGAUAAAAGCCCACCAAGGCAACGAUCAGUAACCGGCUUGAGAGAGUGAACGGUCACAUUGGAACUGAGACACGGUCCAAACUCCUACGGGAGGCAGCAGUGGGGAAUAUUGCACAAUGGGGGAAACCCUGAUGCAGCGACGCCGCGUGAGCGAUGAAGGAAUUCGUUUCGUAAAGCUCUGUCCAAGGGGAAGAUAAUGACAGUACCCUUGGAGGAAGCCCCGGCUAAAUACGUGCCAGCCGCCGCCGUAAAAC
rnacentral:rRNA from 1 species